CGUCCCAUCUUUUAAAAGUUAAGAAGUUCCCUGUUUCAGAAGGUCAGUGUUGGCACUGGCACCUCCCCUUCCUAAAUCCUUCACCUGUUUGCAGCUUUCUCAUGGCACGGUUUACGACGACACACGACUGCCUACAAACCGUUGUCCUCCACCUCGCUCCCUUGCUUACAAAGUGAAGCUGGCAGAGGAGGGUGCGGGAAGAGAACAGAAACCUUUCUGGACCAUCUGACAGAUCCCAGACACCGUCAGCCAGGGCACAGAGCAACAGCCCAUCUUAAGGACACUCAGGGAAGCCAGGGACUGUGCCCUAAACAGCACAGGAUUACUACCUACCCCAGCUGGGUCACCAAGGAAACAGCUGAGGCACUCCCAAUUCUGAUAUGAACCAAGAAUGGGCCCCCUGCCCCUUCUUCGUGGCUACUUCGGACAGGACAGAAGUUAUCAGCCCUGAGUGCAGACUCACAGGAGAGGCUGCGAAGAGUGGCAAGCGUUAUUACUCAGAUAUGCAGGUUUGCUGUGCCUUCAGCCAUAACUAUGUCAUGUUUCCUUGAGCAAGGAGCGGAGACUUCAUAUGAGGGAAACCCUGACACUGAGCGGUCACUGGGGGAACUGAGACAGAUGCGUGUCUGAGGAGCAGCCACUCAGUACAUCAAGAUCGUCUCUGGAAACUGCACACAAGCCUUGUUGUCAGAGCAGACUUCGAAUCCUGAGUCUACUUCCUGUAACCCAAGUGGCCUUCAGAAGCUCACCAUGUCUGUGUGUAUUGAAAGUAAUGGCUGCAGCCCUGCCCUCACAACAACCAUCUGUCAUUAAUGCCAGGAGGAAGAGGCGUGAACAAACAAGAUAAGGUAGGAAGCCUGUCCUAUUUGAAUAACUGUUAGCGGUGAGACAUUCCGAGCAUGAAUACAAGAGGUGAUGGAGCACAACACAGCUCUAACAAGCCAGAGAGCUCCAAAGGUCUCCCAUUUGACCAACCUCUCUCUGCUGCUGUGUUUGAUGGACAACCCAAAGAUGAUGGACGGUAGAGAGCUGUCAGCCGUGAAGCACUUGAAGACACUUUGAUGCUAGUAACGCCAUUUUCAAAUUAGCCCUGGACUGAGUUAAAUAUCAACGAAAGGGAGUGGGACAGCACUCGUGAGAUCAUCCCUAAGAGAAGAAGCGAGAUUUAAUAGUUUGGUGGUUACAGUAACCGCUAUCCUGCAAGAAAAAAUCAAUAUCUACACAGUGUUAGAAUCACACCAAGGGCUCCUGGAGCUGAGCCAUUUCAGCGAAGAAUACACCCGGCUUCAUUAGAGUAGAAAGAGUGUGGUAGGAGGUCAGACACACAUGCGCCCUGGGCUCUUUUGUCGGGAAACCAGGAAGAAGCGCUCCUCUCAGGAGCCGAGCAUUUUUUUAAAAGCAUAGAACUUACAGAGCUGGAAGUGACCUUAGCAAUCACUGAGUCCAGCCCCUUCUUUUUCCAGAUGAGGAAAGAGUGGCCCAGAAAGACUACUUGGCUUGCUCCAGUUCACACAGCGGGCUGGUGAGAUUUCCUCCAUGCACGCCACUCGUGCCCACUCUUAGAGUUCAUGCCUCAGGCCACUGCUGUUCCCUGAGAGCCACCGUGGAAGGCAGUCUGCUAGGGAGCAACAGGAAAGCUGAGCCAGUUCUUGCCCUCUCUCUCACAGCCCGAGAGCAGGUGCUGCCUGCACCCGGUGACUAAAGCAGCAGUGUUAGACAACAUCCAAGAGCUGUCCCAGGGCACAACAUAGAUUUUGUGUGUCUACCCUUUCUGCCCCACCAAUGGUGUAGAUCGUAGAUGCACAGGUAUUUCUACCCCAGGUUCUGAGUUGGAAGAAGUCCAAGUUAUGCAGGAUCCAAAGAACAUGGAUCCAAAGAUAUGGACAGACUGCGUCAUUCGCAUCUUAACCUUGAAUGUAAGCAGCUGCUCUAUCUGUAGCCCUGCACAACCCAAGGAAACAAUUCCAACUGAGCAUGAGUUUCUGGAAUAAGGCCCAGAAAAGGAAGAGGGAGUGCUCUCUCUUUGUGUUCACCAAAUAUUAAAUGUUAAAAUGUGGGAAUUUCAAAAAGUUCAUGAAAAAUGAAAUUAAAUAAAUUUACUGUGGUACAAAAUAAAAUCGCACAAUUUUUUUCCAAGACACAUUGACCAUAACAUUUUUUUUU